rnacentral:rRNA from 1 species
UAAUCACUUGUCUUUUAAAUGAAGACCUGUAUGAACGGCAUCACGAGGGUUUAACUGUCUCCUCCCCCCAGCCAAUGAAAUUGAUCUAUCCGUGCAGAAGCGGGUAUAAAAACAUAAGACGAGAAGACCCUAUGGAGCUUCAGGCUAAAGGCUCAAGCAUGUAAAGAAAUUUUAAAUAAAAAACAAAGAAUCAAGGCCAAAUUUAAACUUAGUGUGAUCAUGGCCAUACGCCUUCGGUUGGGGCGACCACGGGGAAAAAUAAAACCCCCGAAUGGAAUAAAGACAUCUUUUAAACCAAGAGAUAUACCUCUAAGUAAUGGAAAAUCUAACCAAACAUGACCCAGGACAAAUUAAACCUGAUCAAUAAACCAAGUUACCCUAGGGAUAACAGCGCAAUCCUCUCCCAGAGACCC